AAUGAUGGAGUUGAACUUCUGUCGAAACUGCUGCAGUUUGAGGGGAAGAAACGGAUCGCAGCAGAGGAAGCCAUGAGACACCCGUACUUCCACUGCCUGGGAGAGAGAAUUCUCACGCUGCCAGACACUGCAUCAAUAUUUGCACUUCAAGAAGUUCAGCUGGAGAAGGAGCCCGGAAUGAGGACGAAUUCCCUGUCAGAAUCAGGUAAAACCACAAAACGCAAAUGUCGGAUGAUGAUUCAUGAUGAUAGUUUUGAGCUUCAUCCAUCAGUGUGCCAUGUGUUUCUGACCUCUGUGUAUAUGGCAGCACGUCACCUGGCAUUACUCUCAAACUUGCCGAUAUUUAUCUCAAUCUGGCCAAGAACCGUCCAGAGAAGGGCUAUAAAUUGACCAACUGUGUUUUUUGUGUGACAUUUGACUAAUUCUGAAGAAUAAAUCUGAAUCAGACAAAAGAAUAUUUGCUAAAGAAUAUUUACUUUUUGUCUCAAACAAAACGGCAUUAGCAUUGCUAUUUUUGUGAGUAGUUCUUCAUAGCACUGAUUUUAGCAGCUUUAUGUUUGUUUUCUGGCAGACUGAUAUUACUAGUUAAAUGUUUGGACACACCUACUUGUUCAUUAUUUUUGCUGUCAACAUUUUACAAUAACAGUAAAUUCAUUACAAAAGAAACAACACCAACUGAAGAAUGGCAAUGAAGGUGUUCACAUGUAUCCAUCUUAUUUUUGCCCGACUCCCAGAAAUUGCAUAAAGCCAGCCAGUAAGAUAGAGACAGAUGCUUUCAGCCAGUCCUUGCUAUAUUUUUGAAUGCAGUGUACAUUAUUUUUUUUUUUGCAUUGUGACAUCAGCAAUUAGUCUCCAAAUUCUUAUUCCUGUAAUUAUAAAAAAAAAUAAAAAAAAAAAAAAAACUAAUUUCAACUGUAUAAAACUUUAAGUAAAUUACCAAAAUAACAGUGCAUUUAAUAUAUUGUAUUUUUAAAGUCAUAUGUGCAUGGUAAUAUUUGUUAUACUCUCUUUGCCGGUGCAAAUCAUUUGAUAGUAACUUUUUCCUGUAAUGCAGCAUAAUUUUACUGUAUUAUGAGAAAUGCAGUCAAAAGUAAAAACUUCUAAGCACAUUACAGUACUAAGGAGGGAAAUUUGCUUGGUAUGUAAAUAAUGUUUAAAAAAAAUUGUCACCAUGCAGUAAAUAAUAGUUUUAAAAAAAAUUGUCACCAUAGCAAAAAAAAAAAAAAAAAUGUAAGUUAAAAUAUCAUUCUUUUUUUGUCUCUUUAUUUCUGGGUGAAAUGUGACUAGAUUUUUUUUUUUGCAAGAUUCACCCCAUUAGAGCUGAUUUCAGAGGCUAUUACGAACUUGUUCUCAGUUUCCGUCUGUGUUACUAGAUGGAUGAUAUUUUAGUAUAUAUCUAAUUUUUAAAAUGAAUUCAAGCAAUCCCAAAAUGUUUGGUCUGGUGAUAGAUUGUGACUUCCCUUCCUCCCUGUUGGAGAUGACCUGUGAAUACCUGUGCUGCAUUUGUGUGCUUGAGAGACGCUCUCGACGAGUGUAUUAUGAGAAAUAACAGUCAAAAGUAAAACUUACUAAGACACAUUACAGUACUAAGGAGGGAAAUUUGCUUGGUAUGUAAAUAAAUGUUUAAAAAAAAUUAGUCACCAUAGCAAAAAAAAAAAAAAAAAUAGUAAGUAAAAUAUCAUUCUUUUUUGUCUCUUUAUUUCUGGGUGAAAUGUGACUAGAUUUUUUUUUUGUCUAAGAUUCACCCCAUUAGAGCUGAUUUCAGAGGCUAUUACGACUUGUUCUCAGUUUCCGUCUGUGUUACUAGAUGGAUGAUAUUUUAGUAUAUAUCUAAUUUUUAAAAUGAAUUCAAGCAAUCCCAAAAUGUUUGGUCUGGUGAUAGAUUGUGACUUCCCUUCCUCCCUGUUGGAGAUGACCUGUGAAUACCUGUGCUGCAUUUGUGUGCUUGAGAGACGCUCUCGACGAGGGGAAUGCAGACUUGCAUGGCAGUGUUGUAUAGUGGAAGACUGUGGUACUUUGUAAAUAGCCUUAGAAUGUUUUUUGCAGAUCAGAAGUGUGGAGAGUGCAAUGAGAAGAUCCUCCUAACAAUGUAUCAUUUUUGUUAUACUUAUCAUUGAUGACAUUGUUCAUUGUGUUCUAUCUUUUUUUUUUUUUUUUUUAAUAAGAUGUAGUAACCAGACGUUACUACCAUAGGAGACUCAUGUGGUGUAGAUAUUUGGUUUUGAUGUUUGUUAGGAUGAAAACGGCUCAUCUGAUUUAAAGCUUUCAUCUGGAGUGCGGACGGAUUGUGGUGAAAGGGCUUCGAUGGAUAAGCGUGGCCAACUGUUCAUUACUGCGCAAUAAUUGAUCAUUUACGCAAUAACCUUUUCUUUGAAAACCUUGAUUUGAAAUGAAUUUGGUUCUGAUUUUGGCAUGCAUUGCAUGUCAUUAAAAUAUAAAAGAAGCAAAUAAUGCCAGAAAUUGUCUUGCAAAAACUCAAGGCUGUUUAGUACGAACUAGUUUUCGUUCUUAUUGGUUUCGUUACUAUUUCGUUUUUUUUUUUUUUUUUUUUUUAAUUUAAGAUGUAGUAACCAGACGUUACUACCAUAGGAGACUCAUGUGGUGUAGAUAUUUGGUUUUUGAUGUUUGUUAGGAUGAAAACGGCUCAUCUGAUUUAAAGCUUUCAUCUGGAGUGCGGACGGAUUGUGGUGAAAGGGCUUCGAUGGAUAAGCGUGGCCAACUGUUCAUUACUGCGCAAUAAUUGAUCAUUUACGCAAUAACCUUUUCUUUGAAAACCUUGAUUUGAAAUGAAUUUGGUUCUGAUUUUGGCAUGCAUUGCAUGUCAUUAAAAUAUAAAAGAAGCAAAUAAUGCCAGAAAUUGUCUUGCAAAAACUCAAGGCUGUUUUAUUGCCCAUUUAAUAAGUGAGGUUUUGAUAUGAUUGCAGGUGAAAUGCUUUUAUACACGGAGACACUUUGAGCAAAUAUAGACUUUCUUUUGUACAACUUGAUCUUUUAAAAUGGGCAUUUUAUGCGAAACAAAACUUGAUCAUUGAUCAGUACAGUAUUAUUUUCUUUAGCUUUUUUAUUUUGCAGUUGUAUACACUUAAAAAGCCCAAAGUUUCAGGAUUUUCAGCCAUUUUACUGCUCUACUCCAGUUGGCGGUUGUCCAUACGUGAAUGCAAGAAGCGAGAGAUUCGGUCUGCUGUUCUAUAAAUGUUAAGAGCGGUUUAAACACAUUAAGCAAUACUCACUGUUAAUGUACAUUUCACAUCUCAUGGAUAUCUAAUGCAGGGAAAAUCCCUCCCUACGAGUAGUCCGGACCGAAGGUAAGUUAAUUUUUACUUUUACGUAAAAGUUAAAAAUUUAAAUUUAGUCGACUAAUUAAUUAGU
rnacentral:lncRNA from 1 species